CUUGCCGGUAGGGAAGGGAGACGAGGCACGUGAUUCCUGACGCGCGUAGGCCGGUGGGGCGGGGCGGGAAGCGCUGGCGGUGCCGGCAGAUGGGCGCCCUCUCCCGUCUCUCAGAGACCACUCAGUCCAGUCAAGUCUGCAAGUCGGUUAUCUUGGGGGCUCUGGCGGUCGAAGUGGCGUUAACUCGCGUUGGUGCGAGAGGUCGCGACGCUUUUCAUUAUACGCUUCUCUGUUUCUGGGCUGAGGGCUCAGAGCCAGAGUGCUGGCUUGUGUCUUUCCUAGCCGUCCCGCCUGCCCCGAGUGUUGUGGAGAGUUUCUGAGAGAGAGCCCCUGAGAAGGGGAGCGGGCGCUUUCGCGGGCUCACUCGGAGGGGCUGGUUAGGGAGAGGAGCCGCGCGGGCCGGGGCGGCGGAGAAGCCGGACCGAGGUCGUCAGUGGACGCCGCCACCCCUCGGUCGGACCUCGAAGGGGACCUGCGCGCACACCUGGUGUGCGGGGAGGGAAUGAGGACAGCGCCACCCUUUGGAUUUAGAGAGAGAGGCGGAAACAAGGCAAAUGAGUUAGAUCUGCUGGUUGAUAAUCGGCGUCUUCUCUGGUCUUCGAGGGAGGCUCCGCGUUCCCUGUUUUGAGGCCCUAGGUGUAAAGAAGCUGGUUGUUAUGGUGAAGGUUUUCUUUAGCUUGGCUGCCCUCGCUUGAGAGAGGGAUUUUCGAAAGAGUGUCCGUUAACUUCACCACAUCUUGAAAAGUAGUAAACUGGUUUGUACAGGGCAGUGAAGUCAGAAGGGAAUAGGUAAUUUUAUGUAACAAUUGAGGAUUGCAUUAGUGGGCUGCCGCUUCAGAGCCUUAACUAUGAUCUUGAAACAGCCUAGUUUUCUUGGAAUUAACUUCACGAAACUCUUCUACAAGAUAUUUUUAGCUCUUUGAGGGCAAAAUUCUCCGUGAUGCUUUGAUGCCUUUUGGUGUCUUGUUGCCUGUUAUACUGAGUUGAUACCUCUGAGUUAUGUGUCUUUCCGUAGCUGUAAAAACAACAAAAAACCAACAACAAAAAAAUGCGUUCCUUCGUGGUAGAUCACGUCUCUGAGUCUCUUGUCUGCAAGAGAUUUUUCUAUGUAAUUCUUCUUAUAAUAAUUUUAUGAAUGAAUUAAUGAGCAGUAAUGGAAACAGCAAUGAAUUAGGAAGUUGAGACUUGGAUUUGAAUUUUUUAUUUUUUAAAUUCAUUGAAAUAUUUUGAAGUGGACCAUGGGUAUCUGAAUCUCCCACUUCUUAUAACUCUAGUACCUGAAGUUCUAAUAAACCUGGACAUUUAAUGCUAAUGGAUUGAUGAGGUUGGUGAAGUCUCCAUAAAACAAAGUAAUCUGUGAGAAAUUUGUUGCUGGCCAAAUCUCUUGCUGGCCAAUGAUCAACUCUUUCCAAGCUGAGUUUUCUUUACUGUUGCAGGACUAUCAUGAAGAUGCAUUGAAAGUUACACACACUGGAGGAGUGUGAUAUCCCUUUCAGUUGGUGAUCUUCCUGUCAUGAAAGUUGCUUGCCAGCUUUACUUUUGAAUGAACACAGUAAACACCAAGGUGAAAAUAUCAAUGAAAAAAAUCUACUCUCCAUACUAUGUAUAUUUCCCUGUAUGUUCUGAACCUGCUUAUAGCCACCUACCACAGUAGUCUGUAGUUUCUGUUGCCAAACUAUUAAAAGUCUUAGUUAUAGUCAUAUUUUUUUUUCUACUGUUCUACCUUGACUUUCCCUUCAGCCCUUCUCAGGAUUGAGAUAUGGAAAGAUCCUUCUGUCCUUUACCACACAGUUCCUUUGUCAGGAAUUCCAGGAUUUCCUCAAAGUUUGCAAGUAUGGAAUAUGAAUAUGAAUACUCAUUCACUGAGUAUGUAAAACUCCAAUACUUUGGCCACCUGAUGUGAAGAACUGACUCAUUGGAAAAGACCCUGAUGCUGGGAAAGAUUGAAGGCAGGAGGAGAAAGGGACGACAGAGGAGGAGAUGGUUGGAUGGCAUCACCGACUCAGUGGACAGGUAAGAAGAAGAGGUUCCAGGGAAGAAAACUGAGAACUGAUUGAGAAGUAUGAAGAGGAUGAAGUGCAGAAGAUGGGGAGAAGCAUGUUCAGUCGAGUGUGAUAAUCCCUAUUGCCCAAAAUGUCAAGAGUUGAGUCGGAGUAACUGAAGCUGACAAGUCUGUUGAUGAUUGGUAAUCUGGGGGAGGAAAGCAGUAUCAAGAUACAAGUCUGAGAAAACUCAGGUCUCAAGAAAUUGUGCCAUCAAAGGGAGAAGAUAACUGUGGCAGCAAGUAAAAUCUUUUAUGAAGAUUGAUGGUGAAGGCUAAUUGAAAAUGCCAGUGUUGGAACCCCACCCCCCUCCUCCUUCCCAUUCAUCCUGAGCCCAAGAGAUCUCCAUAAAAUUGACCUGGAUACCUUUCAUUCAAGGUUCUGACACCUAGUAGAUGCUCAUGAAUAUUUGUUGAAUGAAGGACUGAAGAUAGAAGAGAGACAGAUGAAAUGAGAUCAUGAGGGUCUCACAAACACGUGAAUCAGCAGUGGAGAUACUACUUUCUGCAGUUGUUAUUUCUGGUAUCUUAAGAAUGUUUUUUAUUUCUCCAGUUUCCAAUUUUUAAAAUUCUCUUCAUUCAAAUAACUGUGUGAUUGCUGCCUCCUCACUGUAACCCUACUGAUAUAAUUGUCUUCUUUAAUUUUUAAUUCAUGGACAAUUUAGGAUUAUAUCUUGAUCACAUGCAAUAUGCAUUUAUUAUAUGGUGUUAUUAUUUAAUGUAUGACAUAUUUUCCCAAGAAUUAAUUAUAAAAUAAAUAUUAUAGAUAGAAAUAAAAAUAAAGUUUAGUUUUAUGAAAAA